UACGUAGGGGGCUAGCGUUGUCCGGAAUCAUUGGGCGUAAAGAGCGUGUAGGCGGUCCGGUAAGUCCGCUGUGAAAGUCGGGGGCUCAACCCUCGAAUGCCGGUGGAUACUGUCGGGCUAGAGUGCGGAAGAGGCGAGUGGUAUUCCUGGUGUAGCGGUGAAAUGCGCAGAUAUCAGGAGGAACACCUAUUGCGAAGGCAGCUCGCUGGGACGUAACUGACGCUGAGACGCGAAAGCGUGGGGAGCAAACAGG
rnacentral:rRNA from 1 species